AUUGAACGCUGGCGGCAUGCUUUACACAUGCAAGUCGAACGGCAGCGCGGGCUUCGGCCUGGCGGCGAGUGGCGAACGGGUGAGUAAUGCAUCGGAACGUGCCCAGUAGUGGGGGAUAGCUCGGCGAAAGCCGGAUUAAUACCGCAUACGACCUGAGGGUGAAAGCGGGGGAUCUUCGGACCUCGCGCCAUUGGAGCGGCCGAUGGCAGAUUAGCUAGUUGGUGGGGUAAAGGCCUACCAAGGCGACGAUCUGUAGCUGGUCUGAGAGGACGACCAGCCACACUGGGACUGAGACACGGCCCAGACUCCUACGGGAGGCAGCAGUGGGGAAUUUUGGACAAUGGGCGAAAGCCUGAUCCAGCAAUGCCGCGUGUGUGAUGAAGGCCUUCGGGUUGUAAAGCACUUUUGGCGGGAACGAAAAGGACUGUGCCAAUACCACGGUUCGAUGACGGUACCCGCAGAAUAAGCACCGGCUAACUACGUG
rnacentral:rRNA from 1 species